GGUCCGCUUCAGUAGUGCCAUUCUUCAAAAUUGGAACAACACAGAUAAGAUUAGCAUGGCCCCUGCACAAGGAUGACACAUGCAGUCAGAAUGGACUCACCUACAGGUGAAAACUUUUU
rnacentral:snRNA from 1 species